GAUGGGCACGGGCAAGAUCACCAAACUGAAAAUAGCCAUCAGUAAUAACAACAAGACAAUCAGAGUCUAUUGCUCCAUACAUGCCGACGAGAAUGAAUCUCAUACACGGUUACUAGAAGAAAAUGGCACAAUCAUGGAUGGUAUUAAUUAAGUGGAGACAAGAAAGUGGCAACUAAAACACACAACAAUCAGGAGGAUCGGGUCCUGUCUUGUCCUCGAAAGCACAGCACACACAAGAGAAAAGAGCAGCCUGGACCGGAUCGGACCACAUACAAGGAAGGAAAUGGACAAGACAUGCAUCAGAUCAUACACACCCGCACCGCACUCAUGGCUUCACUCCUUGCUGAAGCACCCGUUCGCCAUGACCUGCCCGAGGACGCAGGGAGCAAACAUCAUCGUGUUGAGAGGGCAGGCCUUCCCGAUCUGCACCAGGCAAGCGAUGCAUGCUGCAGGGCACAGCUUGGAGUGGAUGAUGUCCUCCAUCAGUGCGAGAACCUCAAGGCUCAGCUCGUCGGAUGGUAGGACGUCGUCAUUGCCGGCCUCGGCUAGCAUCACCAGCUGGCUGGUGAGCAGAAGAGCCAGGAGGAGCAUCACCACCACCUUCCGGUCAGCCAUCUUCUUACAGCUAGAGCGCGAGUUUGUGUGGCCUGGCUGAGUGGGUGUUUACUUGUGUGUUCUGCUAGCUGUGUGUUUGGGCGGGCGUGGGCGUGCUAUUUAUAGACAGAAUCUGAGGCUCCACGAUGCACAUAUAUGUGCUCUUCUUCUUCAUUCUUACUUUCUUCUUUGACUGUGUGUGUGCAGUGACCAACCUUGAAUGAGUUUUAAUUACUUGCUACGAUUUAAAAAUGGAUACCAGUUAGUGUCCACACAGCCCAGCCUAGCCAGUGCAAACAUACAUAUUUUCAUUAGCUACCUAGGCAGGCCUGAUGAACAAAUCUCUAAAUUGAUCGAUCAAAGGUAAUUCAGUGCGUUGCAUGAAAUCAAAGGUAACCCCCUCAAUUAUAGAGUAGUAGUUUCGGCGUGAUUACAUGAAUAUUAAGAAGAAGAAUCUAAAAAGUUGGGCAACAUAAAAAAAAAUCAUGAAUAUUAAAAAGUCAUCUCGUCCAUCUAAAAAAUCAUCAAGCUGAAUAAUAAUCUAAAAGGCACGGUCUCGCGGACGGACGGACGAACAAACCAAGUUACCAUGCAUGCAAGUUGCCACGAUCAAACCACAAGGCCAUGAACCAACCUUACCUGGUCUAAAGAGAGAGCUCUUUGAAGUUGGAAGCAGGCCAGGCACAUGACAUGCCCGCCCGCCCGCCCGCCCGCUAGGAAGGAUCACUAUCUUACUUACUUUUUUGGGGGAAGAGGAGCUUUGAUCUCGUCUUGUUGUUGCGAGAGGAGGGAGACCUAAGCUAGGAUGCGCCGGCCGUAUGACACAAGGGGAGGGCCGAGAGAGAGAGAGAGAUUUGCAAGUGCAGUGGUCACGGCUUGGGUACAAAACUGAGAGAGAGAGAGAGAGAGAGAGAGGGGGGGGAGGAUG
rnacentral:rRNA from 1 species